AUUGAACGCUGGCGGCAGGCCUAACACAUGCAAGUAGAGAGAGCGGCGGACGGGUGGGUAAUGUAUGGGGACUGCCCGAUAGCGGGGGCUAACUACUGGAAACGGUAGCUAAUACCGCAUACUAUCGGAUAACCCAUAUGGGAUUAGCUAGUAGGUGAGGUAAUGGCUCACCUAGGCGACGAUCCCUAGCUGGCCUGAGAGGAUGAUCAGCCACACUGGGACUGAGACACGGCCCAGAAUCCGACGGAGGCAGCAGUGGGGAAUAUUGGACAAUGGGCGCAAGCCUGAUGCAGCCAUGCCGCGUGUAUGAAGAAUGCCCUAGGGUUGUAAAGUACGUUCAGUCGGGAGGCGUUACCGACAGAGAAAGCACCGGCUAACUCCGUGCCAGCAGCCGCGGUAAUUC
rnacentral:rRNA from 1 species